ACUAGUGUAUUGAAGGAAAGAACUGAUUAUGAUUUCACCUUUCAUGACCUUGUAUCAAUUUAUUACUUAGUCACCUACUAAAUUAACCCAAACUACUAAGGUUAUACAUAUUUUAAGCAACUUGUUUUACUGAAUACACAGUUUUACCACAUAAUCUCAUAACGUCCACUUUAGUUCAAAACUAGUGUAUUUAGUGAAUUUGAUUACGCAUGUCAUCAAGACAAGAACUGAUUAUGAUUUCACCUUUCAUGACCUUGUAUCAAUUUAUUACGUAAUCACCUACUAAAUUAAUCCAAACUAAUAAGGCUAUACAUAUUUUAAGCAACUUGUUUUAAGUACACAGUUUUAUCACAUAAUCUCAUUAAGCCAGUUAAAGAGUCCUGGUCAACCACAAUGCAUUGCGCGGUUUUGUUUACGUUUUCAGUUACUUUUCUCAAUAUAGUUGCCGCCUCUGGCCCACAAGGUAACAGAAACGUAAACAAACGCACGCAUUGCAUUGCAUUGUGGUUGACCAGGACUCUUUAAGACAAAGUACAACAAUUGACUUAUAAGCUAACAAACUACACAGCUAAAACGUAAAAUUACAUCAAGUCAAGCAAAAAUCAAACCAGCAAUCACCAUCAAGGAAAGAGUAAACUUGGUCACUAUAACACCAGUUGCGCUGUUGGGGGUAUAAUUGUUGCAAUUAUCGGUAGUACAACAUGCAGCAGCACACGAUUUUAUCUUCAAUGCAAUGGCUGCAAGGUCACAGGACUCUUCAGCAUUAGGGCAAACAUAACUGUUGCCACA